rnacentral:tRNA from 1 species
GCCUUCGUGAUGUAGUCGUCAGCAGGGUCGGUUUUUAUUCGACAGGUCAGUGGUUCGAGUCCCGGCGAAGGUA